CCUACGUGCGGCAGCAGUGGGGAAUAUUGGUCAAUGGAGGAAACUCUGAACCAGCAACGUCGCGUGAAUGAUGAAGGUCUUCGGAUUGUAAAGUUCUUUUCUAAGGGAAGAAGAAAGUGACGGUAACUUAGGAAUAAGCGUCGGCUAACUACGUGCAAGCAGCCGCGGUAAUACGUAGGAGGCGAGCGUUAUCCGGAAUUACUGGGCGUAAAGGGUGCGUGGGUGGUUGGAUAAGUUGGUAGCGUUACUCCGCGGCUCAACCUCGGCACUACUACCAAAACUGUCGGACUUGAGUGCAGGGGGGGCAAUUGGAAUUCCUAGUGUAGCGGUGGAAUGCGCAGAUAUUAGGAGGAACACCGGUGGCGAAGGCGAAUUGCUGGACUGUAACUGACACUGAGGCACGAAAGCGUGGGGAGCAAACAGGAUUAGAUACCCUUGUAGUC
rnacentral:rRNA from 1 species